rnacentral:rRNA from 1 species
UACCCGCGGCAAGACGGAAAGACCCCGUGAACCUUUACUAUAGCUUGACACUGAACAUUGAGCCUUUGAUGUGUAGGAUAGGUGGGAGGCUUUGAAGCGUGGACGCCAGUCUGCGUGGAGCCAUCCUUGAAAUACCACCCUUUAAUGUUUGAUGUUCUAACUCGGCCCCGUAAUCCGGGGUGAGGACAGUGUCUGGUGGGUAGUUUGACUGGGGCGGUCUAUGCGCGCGAAGGCCAUACCGGCGAACGCGAUCCGAAAAGCAUCGGCUUGCCACCAUUCGCGCCGGCGACAUCGUCGGCGAGCACACCGCGAUGUUCGCCGACAUCGGUGAACGGGUGGAAAUCACCCACAAGGCCUCCAGCCGCAUGACUUUCGCCAGCGGCGCGGUGCGCGCGGCUUCCUGGCUUCGGAGUCGGGAUAAAGGUCUGUUUGAUAUGCGA